AAGCCAGAACGAGGGUUUUGUGGCCAAAGAGCCCAGGAGGAGGAAGAGUUCCGGCGGUGAGGACUUCAGAAAGAUGGUCGCUGCUCCAAGACAACUGAAUCUAGCCUCUAAGCAACGAGUUGGUCGCUGCUGGAGUAUUUCACGCUCUGAGAAAAUUUGCAGCCGGUUUCGUUGGUCUAUUGAGAAGCUCAAUCGUUUCUCAAGGUAGCCUAUUCUUUUAUCCUUUUCCGCAACCAAGAGUUCCGCUGCCUGUUUUGUUCCCAUAAUCUAUGUUUCUAUUUUCGGUCCUAGUUAAAAUCAGCCAUAAAAAUGCAAACUUUGACCCG
rnacentral:lncRNA from 1 species